UACGGACUUAAAAUCCGUCGACUUUAUAAGUUGUGAGGGUUCAAGUCCCUCUAUCCCCA
rnacentral:tRNA from 1 species